UUUCUUUUUGCGAAUACAGACUAACACGGCUGCUACUCUGAAACCUGUCCCCUUUUAAGAUAUAGAUAUUCAGGCCUAUCUGCAAAGGCCUGUACUUUAAGAAUUUAAGUGCAUUCUUAUCACUUAGCUAGUUA